rnacentral:rRNA from 1 species
UACAGAGGUCUCAAGCGUUGUUCGGAUUCAUUGGGCGUAAAGGGUGCGUAGGUGGCGCCAUAAGUCAGGUGUGAAAUCUCGGGGCUUAACUCCGAAACUGCAUUUGAUACUGUGGUGCUUGAGGACUGGAGAGGAGACUGGAAUUCACGGUGUAGCAGUGAAAUGCGUAGAGAUGGGGGAGAACACUCGUGGCGAAGGCGGCCAGCUAGACCAGUUCUGACACUGAGGCGCGACAGCGUGGGGAGCAAACAGG